rnacentral:rRNA from 1 species
GAGGUGUACAUCCUGGAGCAAUUCUAUGAUUACAGGAUGAUUGAAGAGCGCUCCGUGGUUGAGCAAGCUCAUGAGAUACAGUCAUUUGCUAGAGAACUUGAGCACUUCAAUUGUAUGCCACCGGAGAAGUUUGUUGCCGGAGGUAUCAGCACUAAGCUUCCUCCUUCGUGGAGGAACUUCGCUACCUUACUGAAGCAUAAGAGACAGGAGCUUUCCGUUCCAGAUCUCAUUGGUACUCUUGAUGUGGAAGAAAAGGCGAGAGCAAAGUACACACGUGCUCGAGGUAUUAAGGGAGGAUCUAGUGCCAAUCUGGUACAGAAGAAGAACUUCCAGCCCCACAAGUUCAAGAACAAGGGCAAGUUUGAUGGUAAAGCAAAGUUUGAUGGGAAGAACAAGGCUGUGCAGCACAUGAACUUCAAGAAGAAGAAUGGCAAGAAGAAGGGUGCUUGUCAUGUG